UGCUCCCGUCAGUGCUCUCCACUUCAGUGUUUCCUGCACCUCCCCUCACCCUUUCUAGAAGCUGUGUGUUCAGUAAAUAGUGCCAAGCUCCAGGAGACAGAUGCAAACUGAAAGGACAGCAGGAAUCAGGACUCUCUGGUUCUCAAGCACACCCUAGUGUGGUGUCUUGGACAUAGAGCUCUUGCUGAACAUUGAAUGGGACCACGGAGUGGGACAUCCAGAUUCCAUGUUUCCUUACACAGUACGAUGUGAAGCACACAGCACUGCCGGACAUGUUGGUAUGUGAAAACAGUUGAUCUUUAGAC